UUGUUGUUACUCGGGGCAAGGACACUGACUAUAGAGAACACAAUUUUAUUGUCUUACAGGAUUUAAAUGUCUAUCCCAAGCAAACUGCAACAAGCUGUUGAGAUUCAAGCAAGUAUUUGUAAGAGAAGAGGGCAACCAUAGCAGAAGAAGAUAAAAGCAUUCCAGAUGGACGGAUACUGAGGAUUUUGAUGUAUUUCACAGUACAUCCCGCUCCGCUAACACAGACAGCCAGGACGAGGCAAAGACAAAUUCUGGCUGCCUACAUGAAAACGUUUGCUGAGUUGCACCAGCUCAGAAGAUUGCCGAGGGUUAUAAAAAACAAAGGCCUAAUAAGGAACCCAAUAUAAGCAUCAGUCAAAUUACUUUGGGAGAGGGAAAAAUCAACUGCUUUCAGUUUUCUUAACAGUACUUACUUACAAACUUGUGAGUACUUGGUUGAUUUUCAUUUCCUCGAUGGAAAGUACCCGAGUGAUGGUAAUAAAAGCGUAAAGGCAAU
rnacentral:lncRNA from 1 species